rnacentral:rRNA from 1 species
GAUGAACGCUGGCGGCGUGCUUAACACAUGCAAGUCGAACGGAAAGGCCCUGCUUGCAGGGUACUCGAGUGGCGAACGGGUGAGUAACACGUGGGUGAUCUGCCCUGUACUUUGGGAUAAGCCUGGGAAACUGGGUCUAAUACCGAAUAUGACAAUUGUUUGGAUGCGAUUGUGGAAAGCUUUUGUGGUAUGGGAUGAGCUCGCGGCCUAUCAGCUUGUUGGUGGGGUAAUGGCCUACCAAGGCGUCGUCGGGUAGCCGGCCUGAGAGGGUGUACGGCCACAUUGGGACUGAGAUACGGCCCAGACUCCUACGGGAGGCAGCAGUGGGGAAUAUUGCACAAUGGGCGCAAGCCUGAUGCAGCGACGCCGCGUGGGGGAUGACGGCCUUCGGGUUGUAAACUCCUUUCGCAACCGACGAAGCCUUUUGGUGACGGUAGGUUGAGAAGAAGCACCGGCUAACUACGUG